rnacentral:tRNA from 1 species
GGAGAGGUGGCAGAGUGGUCUAUCGCACCUGACUCGAAAUCAGGAGUGUCCGCAAGGGCACCGUAGGUUCAAAUCCUAUCCUCUCCGCCA